GAUGAACGCUAGCUCCAGGCUUAACACAUGCAAGUCGAGGGACCGGCGCCCGGGUGAGUAACACGUAUCCAACCUGCCCUUUACUCGGGGAUAGCCUUUCGAAAGAAAGAUUAAUACCCGAUAUAAAGGAUGGGGAUGCGUUCCAUUAGGUUGUUGGUGAGGUAACGGCUGACCAAGCCUUCGAUGGCUAGGGGUUCUGAGAGGAAGGUCCCCCACGUUGGAACUAAAACACUGUCCAAACGCCUACGGGACGCAGCAGUGAGUAAUAUUGGUCAAUGGGCGCUAGCCUGAACCAGCCAAGUAUCUUGAAGGAUGAAGGCUUAUGGGUCGUAAACUUCUGUUAUAGAAGAAUAUGUAUUAUAUGAAUAAGGAUCGGCUAACUCCGUGCCAGCAGACGCGGUAAUAC
rnacentral:rRNA from 1 species